ensembl:lincRNA
GGAUGGAAUAUGUUAUUUUUAAGGGAUAACUCCUGCAGAAAGCGAUUUUCAUGGAAACAGCAAGGGACGUUGAAUCUGAAGGACUGUCCGACAGGGGUCGUCUUCUUUGCCACUCGCUCCUCGGAAACACGAAGGGAGCAACGGACGUGAGUGGUGGACUCGUUUCGGUUGUUUUCGUGACGAUCAGAGUCAUUGUAGCAUCUGUGUUCAUUGAUCAAGAAUCUGGAUGUUUGUCAUUACCUGCCUUGGCAACAUGUUUGCGGCUGUCUUACUCAUAUCAUGCUUCAUAAACCUCGCCUGGGAGGCAGAUUGUAAGGCUCUCUCUGCUACAACUACAUCCACCGCCGCUACAACCAAUGCAGCCACUGCGAUUCCUGUCUGGAGCUCUGUUAGUGCUGGCGUAGUCCAGGAAGUCGAGUCCAGCAAUUCCCCUGGAAUUUUUCAUUUGGAGAGCUUACCGGCAGAUUUUAACAGGUACGACCAUGAUGGUGAUGGUUUCAUCAGUGUGCUGGAGCUCGCGGCAGUGAGCCACACUCGCUUCGACAACGCAAGAAGACCUCUGGACAGUGCGGACCAAGACGGAGACAAGGAGCUUUCUCGAAGGGAGUUUGAACAAGCACCCUGGGUUUUUAACAUUCCCUCCGACAUCGUAAACCCUGCUCGAGAAGAUGACAAUGGGAGAGUCAUCAUUGAGAGAAAACCACGGAUGGACUGAUCACUCGACAAACAUGGAAUUAGCAGGUGUUUGUACUCACAUGAAUGUCCAAAUAAAACUUUUUAGAAUCUGCCUCUAAGUAUCACUUAGAGAUAUCAACACUUGUUUAUCUGGCUUACUGGUUCCAAAUUAUGAUGCUACACAUCAUCAAGUGCUUUAUGCGAGGGGAAUUAUAGAAGACGUGAGUGAGAAGUGAUGAAAAGACAUAACCCUCAUGGAGGAGGCUCCAAUUUAUUAUAAGACAUGACACUCCUUGUGUGGAGUAAAUGUACUUUAUCUUCAGACACACAUUAUAAAGUAAAUACAGUACUUACAGGAAUAAACUCACUCAAGCACCUUGCUCACUACAUGGUGCUCCCUAAACUAUACUUUUUACAAUCACGCUUCAUCAUUGUUGUGCGAUUUAUAUUCAUAAUAAAACACAAUUGUAUAAAAAUAUAAAUGCUUCAAUGAUUGGAAGUGAUCAUGACUUUUAUGAUAUGUAGAAACAGUUCUGCACUUCCAUGGAGAGACAGCAUUACACAGCUGACAUGAAUUUCUUCCCAAGCUUUGCUCGGAGUGUGAAAAUAGUUUUUUUUAUUAUGAAGGUUACAUGUAAUUUGGGGUCCACGUUAUAUCAUCAAUUAUCUACAGUGUGUAACGUGUUAUCCAAAAUAAUACCAUGUGUGCAUGCUAAAGGCUGUUGUCUACUGCAUUGUAUCGCACAAUGCAUCACGUCUCGCAAUGUCUGGUGAGGAAACCAAUGUCGAUGUACAUUUGGAGGAAGUAGUAGACAUUUAUCGUUUGUCGACAGUAUACAGUGGUAAGUGUAUUGAAGAACAGUUGGAACGAGAAGGGCACUCAUGAGAUCACGUACCUCUACCAGGCUGAACAGCUUACAUUUUGUAACCCACUGAUAGGCCAGAUCUACGUACAUCCGGACCUGAACCAGAAUAUAAUUAAUCGGCUUGUUCUUGUCACCUACCCAACCCAUCUGCCUAGUUUUGUCAUAACUCAUCCAUAACUUUUUGAGAUAUCGUUCUUGGUCCGAUCUCUCAAUGGUGAAGAAUCACUCAAAUUUUAUUUUUUUUAAACCUCUUGUAUCUAAAUCUGGAUCUUCACCAAAAUCGAAUCAAUUCGUCCUCAUCACACACAGACAUGUCCACCGAAUUUCGUCAAAAUCUGUCAAUAACUUAUUGAGAUAUCCUGCUCACAGACAAACAGGGGUGAAAACAUAACGUCCGUCUACCUUCGUUCGAUGAUGGAGGUAACAAACGUUCACUGGUGAAAACUUGGCUUCAAGUUCAUAGAAUAUAACCCUCUCCACUCGGGAAUCACGAUGUGAAUGAAACGGCAACCAGUAUUAAGAAAACUAAAUAACUCGUGAAAAGUCCGUGAUAAUACAUCCGAGGCGUCAGAGACAAACUCUCGGGGAAGAUGUUAAAUGGCCGUGAGUAAAAGAAGAACACUUCUGGUGAGCACCAGUAUGGUGAAAAAUUCAAGAGAUAAAGUGGAAUCCACAACCAAGACAUCUCACCAGGACAUUGCUGGGUAUAACUCCAAAAUUGACAUCAACUACAAUUGAGCUCCCUGCAAGCCUGUGUGUCCUUUGCUCAUCAUCGCGCCAUCCUUUCCAUUGUUCCACGUGAUUGAUAUAUUGAUCUGUUUGUCUCUGUGUCUCUUCUACGCACGCACACACACACACCACCUUUUCUGCUUCUGAAGCUAGGCCGCCAAAGAGUGGACAGGGCACCCAGAAAGAAAAACCAUGAUUGGUGGAUAAAAACGGUCACAUGACCAUUAAAAUGGUGUUGCAAGUUGCAGGAGAAACUCCAAAGUAGUACAUGUUUCCAUAUAUUGUGGGACCUCUGCAGUAGUCAUUUAGAGUUGAACCUAUUGUUAUAAUAAACUAGACAACCCGUGAACCCGUUGGGUUCCCGUUGUGACAGUGGUUGAUAAAAAAUAUCAUUUAAAAAAAAAAAGAUAGCUCCAGAGAACUAUACCGCUGAGGUUGUUUGCAUUGAUCAAAUAAUCCUGAAGAGUACUUGACUGAAUCGGGAAUUGAUUUUUUUAAUAAUUUUUUUCGUUGCCCGAUUUAAAUGAAACUUGGUACUGCGCACCGCAGGAGAAUGGUGAGCAAGGUGUUAUUAAAAUUUUUGUGUUAUCAUGUACCGUUUUGGCUGUAUUUCGGGAACAUAUAUACAUACAACAUACAUACAAGAUGAGAGUUUUAGUAAUGUAUAGAUAGAUAUUCAGAAGAUCUUUUCAUGUAUAUUUUCCAUUUAAUGGCCCACAGAGCUGGAAACGCCGGAUAUAAAGAAGGAUUGCUUUUAUCCCUGCAAGACGAGUGCAGACACAAGGCUGUAUGCUCAAAAAUCCUCAAAAUACAGAUGACAUUGCCAAGAAUGAUUAUCCAAAACAUCAAAAGAAACAAUAAUUUUAUCAUUGCCUGCAUCUUUGCCUUGCGCUGCUGAGGAAAAAUUGCCGUGGGAUGCCACUGAGGAAAGGGGGUGGAGACAUUCACCUGGGCGAGGCUUGCUUGGACCCACCCCCUUGGAACAGUCAGGGAAAGAGGCUCGGAGAAACGGAAUUUAGGUUUUCUGGAAACGGAAUUUGUGCUUUGCAGGUACAUUUUGUCUCCCCAGUAAGGCAUGCUGUCAUCAUAUAUUAAAAGGGUGUAAAAUGACUGUUAUACAAGACUGCACUGGGUUUAUCGUUGCAUCGUGAAUUUAACCCACAUGAGACAGACAAUCGCUGUCUCCCUCGCAGCUUCUUAUGUAAACUGUUACUCAUCUAAAUCCAAUCGAUGUAUCAACAAUAUGAUAAUUACUUUGUUUUCUAAGCUCCAGAUUCACCCCAUAACAUUUGUCAUUGAAUUGAAAUCAUAAAUUCUGCCUCUUAGCGUUGCCUCGAAACCAAUUACAAUGUAAACGAUCGUUUAUUUUACAACUUUUGACAUAUUCACAUUAAAAAUUACAAUACUUGUAAACUGUUGAAUAAACAGCUCAUUCUAAUCACUCGUUCUUGAUUUGCUUGAGUUUUUGUUUUAUUUCCGAACAAGCAAAUACAACCCGUCGCUUCGCUGAUGGGAAUAUUAAAGGGGGGGAGUGGGGUAGGGGGGGAGUAAGAAAGAGGAAAGGGAGAGAGGGGGGGGGGGGAGGGGGGGAGUAAGAAAGAGGAAAGGGAGAGAGGAGGGAGG